rnacentral:rRNA from 1 species
UUUUAAUCAUUUCAUCAAACUACUAUCAAUCAAAAUUAAUAGAUUUGACGGUACUUAAUUUUCCAAAGGAGUUUGUAUAUUAAUCGAUUUUUCACGAAACAUUUCUCUUAAAACUCGCUUGUAUACCGCCGUGUAAAAUCAAUUUAAGAUUCAUUUUUAAUGACUCUCUCUCAAAAAAUCAGGUCAAGGUGCAGCUUACUUAAGUUUAUAUGAACUACAAUAAUAUAAUACUCUGGAAUAAUAUAUGUAAACUAUUAUGAAAAUGAAUUUGUUGGUAAAGUUAAAUUAAAAUGUUUUCUUGAAAAAUAAAUUAAGUAAGU